GAGUUUGAUCCUGGCUCAUAAUGAACGCUGGCGGCGUGCUUAACACAGGCAAGUUGCACGAGAACGUUUCAGCUUGCUGAAACUAGUAAAGUGGCGCACGGGUGAGUAACGCGUGGGUAAUCUACCUCCGAAUUGGGGAUAACAUUGCNAAAGCGAUGCUAAUACCGGAUAACAUCUCAAUAACUCCGGUCUUUGAGAUCAAAGGUGGCCUCUCCAUGGAAGCUACUGUUUGGAGAUGAGCCCGCGUACCAUUAGCUUGUUGGUAGGGUAAUGGCCUACCAAGGCUACGAUGGUUAGCUGGUCUGAGAGGAUGAUCAGCCACACUGGAACUGACACACGGUCCAGACUCCUACGGGAGGCAGCAGUGAGGAAUUUUGCGCAAUGGGGGAAACCCUGACGCAACAACGCCGCGUGAGUGAUGAAGGCUUUAGGGUCCGUAAAGCUCUGUCAAGUGGGAAGAACCCACAUGGUGAUAAUACCCGCCAUGUGCUUGACGGUACCACUUGAAGGAAAGCACCGGCUAACUCCGUGCCAGCAAGCCCGCGGUAAUACGGGGGGUGCAAGCCGUUAUUCGGAAUUAUUUGGGCCGUAAAGAAGCGCGUAGGCGGUCUCUUAAGUCAGGUGUGAAAGCCCGGGGCUCAACCCCGGAAGUGCCCUUGAAACUAAGGGACUUUGAGUAUGGGAAAAGGAAGUGGAA
rnacentral:rRNA from 1 species